rnacentral:rRNA from 1 species
UACGUAGGGGGCGAGCGUUAUCCGGAAUUAUUGGGCGUAAAGCGCACGCAGGCGGUCCUGCACGUGGAUGGUGACAGCUUCUGGCUUAACCAGGAGAGUGCCUUCCAAACGACAGGACUUGAGAGUGAGAGAGGGAGACGGAACUCCAGGUGGAGCAGUGAAAUGCGUAGAGAUCUGGAAGAACACCGCUGGCGAAGGCAGUCUUCUGGCUCAUUUCUGACGCUCAGGUGCGAAAGCUAGGGGGAGCAAACGG